AACGAACGCUGGCGGCAGGCUUAACACAUGCAAGUCGAACGAGAUCUUUGGAUCUAGUGGCAGACGGGUGAGGAACACGUGGGAACAUCCCUUUCAGUUCGGAAUAACGUUGGGAAACUAACGCUAAUACCGGAUACGUCCUUCGGGAGAAAGAUUUAUCGCUGAAAGAUUGGCCCGCGUCUGAUUAGCUAGUUGGUGAGGUAACGGCUCACCAAGGCUACGAUCAGUAGCUGAUCUGAGAGGAUGAUCAGCCACAUUGGGACUGAGACACGGCCCAAACUCCUACGGGAGGCAGCAGUGGGGAAUAUUGGACAAUGGGCGCAAGCCUGAUCCAGCCACGCCGCGUGAGUGAUGACGGCCUUCGGGUUGUAAAGCUCUUUUGUCCGGGAAGAUAAUGACUGUACCGGAAGAAUAAGCCCCGGCAAACUUCGUGCCAGCAGCCGCCGUAA
rnacentral:rRNA from 1 species